GCGACGCCGCGUGCGGGAUGAAGGCCUUCGGGUCGUAAACCGCUGUUACGAGGGACGAAGGCUUGCGCGGUGAACAACCGCGCAGGAUUGACGGUACCUUGAAAGAAAGCCACGGCUAACUCCGUGCCAGCAGCCGCGGUAAUACGGAGGUGGCAAGCGUUGCUCGGAUUUACUGGGUGUAAAGGGCACGUAGGCGGUCUUAUAAGCCCUGCCUAAAAUGCUCUGGCUCAACCAGAGUACGUGGUGGGGGACUGCAAGACUGGAGGAUGGGAGAGGCGAGCGGAAUUCCCGGUGUAAGGGUGAAAUCUGUAGAUAUCGGGAGGAACACCAGUGGCGAAAGCGGCUCGCUGGACCAUUUCUGACGCUGAGGUGCGAAAGCUAGGGGAGCAAACAGGAUUAGAUACCCUGGUAGUCCUAGCCGUAAACGAUGGACACUAGGUGUUGGCUCCAUUAGGAGUCAGUGCCGUAGGAAACCCGCUAAGUGUCCCACCUGAGGAGUACGGCCGCAAGGUUGAAACUCAAAGGAAUUGACGGGGGCCAGCACAAGCGGUGGAACAUGUGGUUCAAUUCGAUGCUACGCGAAGAACCUUACCCAGGCUUGACAUGCAAGGAGUAGGAACCUGAA
rnacentral:rRNA from 1 species